CGGGAUGUAAUUCAGUGGUCAGAAGCCUUGGUUUGGGACCAAGGAGUCGUGGGUUCGAAUCCUACCAUCCCGACCA
rnacentral:tRNA from 2 species